rnacentral:rRNA from 1 species
AUGGUCAAUAGCCUAACGGCUGAAUUAGCAAUUUGGGAGAAUGUACAGUUUCGGCUGAUUAUGUUUUUAAAAAACAUAUAAUCGACUACGUCGAAUAAAGUUCUGGAUAGAACACUGAUUAUGACAAUUUUCUAUCUAUGUGUCUUGACCAAAUUACGUGCCAGCAGUCGCGGCAAUACGUAGAAGACUAGUGUUAUUCAUCUUUAAUAGGUUUAAAGGGUACCUAGACGGUAUAACUAGCCCAGAAAAGGGAACAGUUUUACUAGAGUUUUAUAUGAGGAGGGGAGAAUUUAUUGAGUAGAGAUGAAAUUUGUUGAUACAUUAAAGACUGGUAGCGGCGAAAGCAACCUUCUAUCUAAAAACUGACGUUGAGGGACGAAGGCUUGGGUAACGAACAGGAUUAGAUACCCUAAUAGUCCAGGCAGAGAAUUAUGAGUGCCAUAGGCUAGAUUAUAUUUAGUUUAUAAAUGAAAGUGUAAGCACUCCACCUCAAGAGUAAUGCGGCAACGCAGGAACUGAAAUCAUUAGACCGUUUCUGAAACCAGUAGUGAAGUAUGUUAUUUAAUUCGAUAGUCCUCGAAAAACCUUACCACAAUUUGUAUAGUAUGAUUAAUUUUAUAUUACAAGCGUUGCACGGCUGUCUUCAGUUAAUGUCGUGAGAUUUUGGUUAGUUCCAUAAAAUUAACGUAAGCCCUUGCUUUAUUUUUAUAUAUUUAUCAUAAAGCAGUUCAUCACUAUAUUGAAUAUGAUAACAGGGACCAAGACAAGUCAUC